CAGUCUGAAAAAAAAAAAAAGGGGGGGGGGGGGGGGGGGCAAGAAUUUCUUCUGUCAAAAUAUAAUUAAUGAAAAGCAGCACCAUAAAACAGUUUGAAAUACAAAAGUGCUGGCAGAACUCUUAAAUUUAUAUAAACUUUUUUUUUAACUCCAAACUUAAUUUAAAUAUACAUUUAUAUAAUUGCGUCAUUUAUGUAACGUCCACUAGGUUCUAGAUAGAUUAGGUGCUGAAAGUUAGGAAAAGAAGCCUGAUGUCCAAGAAGCCCUGAGAGACCCUUGAUUUUGCUGAGUCUUCCACAAGAUACCACUGUUUCUUGAUUAUGAAAAUACGUGGGGUUUUUUUGUAUAUUUUGGUUUGUUGUGUAUACAUACAAACACAUGCACUUCAAGAUUUAGCUACUAGAAACAAAACAGCACAUUGCUAAAACUUUCAGCUGUCAGUACAAUACAAGUGGGGUCAAAAAUGGUUUUGGACAGCAGCAGCCCAUGGAGGUUGUCACAUAUUGACUAAACUAUUCUCAGCCUCCCACUAUAGAAAUGAAACACAGCCUCUCAACCAUGUGACACAAAGCACAUCAGUUACCCAUCUACAGUACCUACCACAUCAAGUGUGCUCCACAGCAUGUGGAAAGCUCCAUCUCCUGUAUUACAGUUUUACUGCUAUCUAAGAGCUGUCACUGGCUCACAGAUGGCUCACAAAUGCAUUUUGUCAGUAAAUUUCUUAUUAAGACAGGGGCAUGCUCCCAUCAUUUUUAGUAUUCGUAUUUCCUUUAGUUAACAUUUCUUACAGCUUGAUAUUAAAGAUAAUGACUGAUAUUAUCUGGAAAUGGUGAGUAAUAGGAAAGGACAUUUUACUUAGAGAGAUUUGCAACGGGGGGUUCUAGCCUUUCAAAUCCUUCAUGCUUCCUGGUAAUAGACAAGAAAAAUACUACCUGACAAUUUAAAGCUGAUAAUGAAAAGUCAAAACAUACUUUAGAUAUGAGUAAUACAUCUGCCCAUGAAAUAUGAUAUAUAGAAAAUAUAUUUUCAUAUUAAAACAUUAUAAAUAAUAUGCAACAUCUAAUGGAAAAAGAUAUUCUCUACAUUGAAGACCUUGGUUCUACCCAACCUCCAAGAGCAGCUGACAAUCUGAUGAACUCCCUAAGGCCACAAUGCUUUGUGUCAAAUAAUGAUAUUAUUCACCCUGCAAUGACUACUACAGAGAAUUUACAUUGUGCUAGUGCGUGGAACUGCUGUCAUUGCAGAGGAAAGUUCAGUAUCAGAUCUCUAGCUGAAUUUUCAUUCCUGAAGGUCUCUUACCCAUGUACAGAUACGGAAUGAUCCUAUUUGAUGUGUAUGACCAGACGAGAUCACAGCCUAGGUAUCACAGAGUGUAUGGAUUACGUCUGAAAACUGCACAUCCAUUUUCAUGAAUAGGGAAAGAUUUCAGUCAGGAAGAACAUACUACUUCUUUGUCAAAUUUGCUGUAGGUAUUAAAAAUUACAAGGUCACAUGACAAAAUGAAUAAGAAAGAUAUUUUGUGUUACUUUCAGUCAUCAUACUGUAAUUAAAUGUUCAAAUAUUAAUGAGAGCUAAUAAUGAGUACUAUGUAUUGAUUACAGUUCAGGCACUGGUUUAUGUACUUAAACUGAGUUUUAUAGAUUUAUCCUACAAUUUUUUCACCAGUAUUUUCCUAUACAGACCAAUUUCAUUCGCACUUUGAGUUCACUUACAGAAGAUGCAAGAGAAGACAACUGUUUUGAAGAGAAGUUAAGGGCUUUUAAACAGCAAGAGAAAGCUUCCGACUGUCAUUAUAUGAAGAGAACUCUAUUUAAAUAAAUACAAAAUCAGGCUUUUACAUUUUAAUCCUUGUCAAGAAAGUAUUCACUGAUGAAAAGUAAGUUGGAGAGGGAAAAACAGUUAUUACCAGAAUGCAUGACAAACCAGAAAUGAAAUCUACAUCAAGGGUGAAUAUAUCACUGAGCAAGAUAUUAUCCUAUGUAAACAUAACUAUUUAUAUCACAGAAGAUGCUCACAUCUGGAAACCCACAUGGAUUCGCAACAUGUUUUUGAGUGUGUGGUUCUAUACUAACAUAUUUCAUAGCUCUUGGCCAAGACCAUUUGGAGUUAAUUUUAUGUUAAUGACAGGGCAAUUCACUCACUGCACAAAGGAAUUCCACAUCUGGUGUGAAUGCAUAAGUACAAAAUGAACAUACUGAAGAAUAACAUCUUGUUCUGACUUUCUUUUGUCCUUUUAUUCCCCCCAUCUCCACCCUAUUUAUCUGCAAUCUUCUUUUGCUUGUCCAAAUUUCUCUUUUCCUUUUAGGAAAAUCAUAUGGCUUCUAUUGACAAUUAGCUCAUGGUUUACCUUUAUUAUUACCUGAGGGCUAGGUGGGGAGAUUUAGUGCCUAAGGCCAGUGGGGUGGGAAAGGACUAUAACAGCUAUAGAGUGAAAAAGUUUGGUAAUUUUGGAGACUUGUUUUCCUCCUGAGAAACAGGCUUGCUGCAAAACAGUGUAAAAUCCUCCUUUUAUUAUUAUUAUUCUUUGUCUCCUCCUCCCUUUGGAUUAUUUUAGAAGACGUUCGCAAGGACGUACAUAUAAGGAAAGUUUUUAACAUACCUCACAAAAAUAUUUUAAAAUAAUAAAGGCUUACUGUUUGCAAUUUUCUCCUGCCAAACUAAUUUCAGGAUUAAGAAAAAGCAUACAGCAGAAGAGAAGAUAGCCCUUAAACAGCCAUAAGUCACCUACUAAUAAACCAUCAGCAAGAAAUUUAUACCUAAAUGACAGUAGAAAGGCUGCUGUUGAAGUCAGAUAACUGAGUUUAGGGAAGCAUGUAAUACCCUAAGGGGAGAGACCUCACUCCAGAAAAGGCUGUGCAUUUGCAAGCAAAUGACCAUCUUAACACCUGGGAUCCCAUAAUACAGUAACUGUAUUAGGAGGCUGUAAAGUGCACAUUUGUACAGACCAGAAGAAAUCCCAUCACAGCUCACUUUACUAGUUUAGAGUCACAUGACUUAGGAUCAGUAAAGCAGUCUUGGGGAGACACUAAAUUCCACUUCUCCCAAGCUUUUACUGACCUCACCGUAAAUAAUUUACAACUCCUAGACAGAAAAAAAUACUUAGAGAUACUCCUUUAAAAUCAGAAGGACAUAAGUUUAAUGUCAUUCAAAAUGCAGAAACAGUCCACUAGACAAGGGAAAAAGAGCUCUUACAUCUGGUUCCCAUUAGAAAUUGGAAAACCUUUUAAUUGUUCUGGCUAAUUUUUAAUAGGACACUGAGUCCUACUCAUUUCCUAAGCUUUUUACUGUUAAUGAUCCAAAAAAUGAACUCCUAGCUAGGUGUUUAGGAGCCUGCUAAUCACCUUUGCUGUUCAUGUGUGGCUGUUUUUUCACACACUUGUGGCCAUUCCCUGACUGAAGAUCUCUUGUUCUUCGCUGAAUUCCUCAGUGACAUGGGUCUUACUGCAUGCAGUAGGAAUGCAAACUGGUAGAUAGCUGCAGACAGACCUGCUGUGACUAUAGGCUUGCAAGUUCAAAGCUCUAGGACUGUCUUCCACAUCUGUACAGUAACAGAGAAAGACUAACACUAAAAGGCCUUAUCAGAUUUUAGCAUGAGGAGAAAGCAAAUACUUCAGGAUUAUUUCUAAUUACAGUAAAUAAUCAUAAACUGACACACAGCAAAUGAAGCACUAGAAAAGCAAGACUAUUUAAGGACUCAUGUAGCUGGCAUUUGUUUAUAUUUUGUUGCUUGAUCUGAAAGUAUUACAAGCUACAGUUACGAUAUGUUAUUUGCUUGAAACGAUUUACUUUGAUACUUUUUACUGAAAUGUAGGACUGCAACUGUCAAUUCUAAAGUAACUGCUCUCUUCCUGAUCAGAAGGCCCCAUUUUGAGUAUACACUGGUCUAACGAGACAAUGUUCAGAUUUUUGACAUAUCAGCACAGGAAUUUUUUAGAAGGUACAGUUAGUUCCUGACUACUUAAUAGUUUAUCAAACUGCUUUCUCUAUUCUGCUUUCAAAAGGCCAUCCUUGCCUUGUGUCUCCACACUACUCAACUCAACGUGCACUGUCAGUCCUAAGGCAAUCUUUCCUCCAUCAGGCUUACUUCUGAAUGUACUGAGACAAACUAACUACAGCAGAUCAUAACCACGCUUAUAACUCAAUGAAGGAGCUUCUGGAGAGGACAAUAAUGUGCACUGAUUUGAUGGUGUUAAAAAUCAAGACUGGAAGCUGAAUAAUGGAUUCAGAAAUUAGGAUCUCCUUGUGCUGCAAUCAUGAUUCACUUGUUUGCUUCUCAUUCGGGUGGGUUUGAGGACUUCUGUACGCUCUUAAAAAACAUAAAGCUUUAAGAGUGAAUGGGAUUCCUGAACUGUAUGAGAAAACCUCCUGCUUAUGCUCUUUUCCUCCACCUGCUAUCUUUCCUUCUGUUAGUUACGUGUUUCUUUCUCCUAUUUUUUCCAGUGUUCUGCUUGUGUAAUGGCAGAAUGGAAAGGUCUGGUAGCCCAUUUUAUCUAUGUGCUGCUGCUAAAAGCCGGGAAGCAGAUAAAACAGAAGUAUCUAGGCAAGAAAACAGGGACAGGAACACCAGGAAAAAAUUUUAAAAAAAUAAAAUAAAAUAAAAGAGUAGAGAGGAGAUUCGCAAGCCAUCAGAUCCACAACAUCAUAACCAUUAUAAGGUGCAUGGAAACAGGUAAAUUCUCCAUGGAAAAAAAAAAAAUGAAAAAAGGAUAAAAAUUUUAGAAGAAAAAAAAAUGAAUUUCAUUAAUAAUUUUAAAAAAUUUUUCCUCUUUCUCUAACAGAGAGAAAUCUUAACAGAAACCAGAAGGGGACAUGAAUUUAUACAGUUUUGCUUUUCAUUAGUGUAGCGAUAGACACCAGUGAAAGUAGGUGAAAAUUUUGAAGGAGAGAUAGUAAUUGCAGCUGUUAAUUUCUUUUUUAUUUUUAACAGCCUACAGGGUAUACAUGUUUAAAAAAAAAAAAAAAAAGACAAGUUCUUGCAAGCAAAACUAAUUUAAACAUGCAUAUUUUAGUCAUUACAAAGAGGCUUAUUACUCUUUUUUAUUUUAUCUUUCUUAAAAAUACCCAGUCAAUUGCUUGUGGCUUAAAUGUGGAGACAAUGAAAAACUACUUCAACACCUAUGCCACACCCUGCAGGCUUUAGAAAGAGAACACAACUGGCUGCCAGAGGUAACUAAAGUAGGAAAAAAAAAAAGAAAGCUAAAAUACUUUUUACCAAAAAAAAUAUUUUUAUUUAAUAGCAUAGACACUAAGCAAUAUUGCAGUUAUAGGAUUUGUGUAGUAUUAUACUAGGAUGUAAUGAAGAGAUUUUGGCCACUGUAAGAGUGAAUUUCUGCUUGGAAGCAUCUGGAAAUAACUUUUAUUUUGAAUUUAUUUACAAAACAUUUAUUUACAAACAUUUAUUUUGAAUUGUUACAAUAUCCAAGUUGUACUUUUACCCUUCAUUUUCUGAAACUUACUUUCAAUUUUAGAUUCAUUUCUCUGUAGCUUCUGAUCUACAGGUUGCAUUUUCCAGCUGCAGGCAUAUUAGUAGUGGCAUUUUCACAUACGGGCACCAAAAUCUAAAUUUGUACAUUCUCUCCAAAGUUUUAAGGAGGCAACGUCAGAAGACAAAAUUUGAAAACAUCACAUGUAUAAAGUUCCUAAGAUUCCUACCAGACAUCUAUUUGUUAAUCAAAACUAAGUAUUUUGAAGUGAUUAAAGAUUUCAUAUUUAUCACAAUUGCCUACAUAUGCAUAUGUGCAUUUGAGGAAGAGUGUUACUCUGAAGCUCCAUUUUCAUUAGCUGAACCAAAUGGCAUUUGUAAACUUUAGGCUCCAAACAGUAUUGAGGAGACUGGAUUCAAACCUAGAUGCUUAAAAUAUCAAUUAUAGCUUCUUUAAAUCUGUAUUUCCAUCGGUAUGUUGGCUUUUUCUUUCAUUUUAGGAGCUAUUAUGCAUGUUAUAAAAGAAAGUUAAGUGAGUUUUGAUUUACAAAACAAAUAUUUUAGUACCCAAUUAAUUGAGAAAUUGUAGGUUUUGCACAACAAAGCAAGAAGUUGACAAAGUAAUAGCAAUGGAAAUUCUGAAUAUAUUGUAUAUGAUAUCUAAAGACAAAAGCAAGUGAAGAGUAGUAGACAUUAUUUUUAAUUGUACUUUAAAUUAGAGGAUUUUUUCAUAACUAAUCUUUCCCUAAAAUAUGUAUGAAACUAUGACUAAAUCUGGUGAAGUCUGACCUUCCUAAAAAACAAACGAUUAUACCUUAAAUAAAAAAUUAUACGCAAACAAAAACAUUUUUGCUGUCCAAGAUAUAAGAGGGAUUAAUCAGUGACUAGGAAGUGUUACCACCUAAGCAAUUGACUCUGCUGAGUGAAAUGAAUUGAUAAACCAAAGUAUGAUAGUUAUAGUCUCUUUCAGAGGUGUUGAGAGAUAUUUUAUGAGUUUGAAUAUACUUUGUUUUGUUUAGCUCAAUACACUUUCAUUUGAAUUUGAGAAACCAAACGGAAGCUGGAAGAGCAAGCAACUAGUUUUGAUCUUCUGACGAUGAAUAAAAACAAAUGCAAAAAGAGAUCUAGUAUUCUAAAAUCUUGGAGGCUCUGGAAGCAAUUGAAUCAGACCACUAACUGCAGAUAAUACUUACUUUUAACUAGUAGUUUUAAAUAUGGGUGUUUAAAAUAUAUAUAUAUAUAUAUUUUUUUAAAACACCCUUGUUUAUAUAUAUAUAUUGAAACAUAUGAAACAUUUCCAGCAUCUUAAUGAAAUCUGUUUUUUUCCAAAAAGAAAUCCUAAAAUGGCAUUGCAUUCUCCUCUCUAACUACAACCAGUGUUUCUAGUGAUCUGGCACCUCUUACUCUAAACUUUAAUUUCUGUAUUUAAUUGUACAGUAUGUUGGAUUACUGUAUAUAUCAUAUAAUAAAAAAUAUCAUUAGCUAUGUUUCAAUGAUUUUCUAACACUGCUGUCUUGCUACUGAAUUAUACUUCAGUUUCAUAGGUUGCAGGCCACAAAUUUCUAUUAAGCAGGAAUCUGCAAACGAAGAAAUUUUGUACACUACGUUUCAUAGAACAAAAGCUAAGAAGAAAAAUGUAAGUAAACAUAUAUUAACAUGUGUAAUUAAAUGUGCAUACAGCAUUUUCUUGACAAGGGCAAAGAGGUACUGAAUGUACCAGGCACUUUUCACUGAAAAUCAACAAAUCCUAGUAGCUACUAAACAAUAACAAUCAACCAUUCCUUAUGAACAUAUCUAAAAAGUUGAAGAAUGACAAUAGCUGCAUAAGUCAUGAUUAAAAAAAUAUUGGUUUAAUACUAAACUAUGAUAAAAGUCUCUGAUUUAAAUCAUUUUGAAUUCAAAAUUCAUCUAUUCCAAAGGCUGUCAACAGAUGUUUUCAAAGAAUUCAGUUCUUCUAACUUCAGAUUAGUUCAACAUUUAGCUCAUCAAAUCUACUGCAUUUGUAGAUUUUAAAAAAGAGCAUUGUACUACCUAUGAGUCACUGCAUAUGAUUUUCUCUCACUUCUAAAAUCUUCCCCAACCAGUGGAUAGCUCCCUGUUUGUAGAACACUUCAUACACUUUCAUACACUUUCAUACGCUUUCAAGUAUUCUUAAGUAGAAUGCAAAUUCUUUUAAUUUGGGCACACAGAACAUAUGUGCAAAAAUGUAAGACAUUCCUGAACUGGUAUUUACAAUCUAUUAUGCUGAAUAAGACUUUCAUUUUCUACCAUCAACUGAAGAAGCAGAAGUUCUGCAACCUAGGUUAUUUAUCAUUCACAGUUUCCUAAAAAUCCCAUUUCAUGUUUUUAAUUGUUAUUAAGUAUUUAACAGAUUUCAUUCCACAGAACUAACUUCCCCAAAUGUUAUUAAGUUGUGGCUUUAAUUUGCAGCAAAGCCAAUAGAGUAGACAAAAAUGCCUUGAUGUGGUUGCAGCUGCUUUCUGUUACAAAAAAACAUUUAUUUUUCCUUUUUUCUCAUGCUGGCUUUUAUUUUUCCCCAAGAAAUAGAUAGAUACAAUGCAGCAUAAUGUCCUCCACAGUGUCUUAUUAUAUCAAUAUUAAAACUCUACAUCUUGAGAUUUUAAGAAUACUUACAGAUGUUAAGAAUACUUAUAAUUUAUUAGGGGAAAAUAUAAAUAGGAAUAAAACUGAGGAUACAGAGAUUUAUUUCUUCUUAACACAGAACGCUUGAUUGCAAAUGCUAAAAACAACAAAAGUAACAAAAUCCAUCCAAUAGGAAAGAAAACAGGGAAGCCAUAAACACAUCAUCUAGAUGACCUAUGCAAUUAGGUGCACUUUAGUCUCACUAAAAACAAGAAGGACUAGCCCAAGGAGCAGUAAGCCAUGAAUAUUCAGCGAAAGGAACUGCAGAGUGAAGCUUACAAAAAAUAAUAAUAAUACAAAUAUUCUAGGAGUUCAGAGCAUAUUUCCUGAUAUUCUUUAGGGAUAUUUUUAAGAGAAUCUUUAAUUGGCCCCAUGUAUCAAUAGCACCUCUGAAUGCUGACUUCUUCUAUAUAACAUACACACGUAUACUAUGAACCUGAACAGUAAUAUAUAUUUUGGAGAUGGAAAUAUUUGCUCCCAGUAGUAGAAGUAUAUAUGAAGUUCUGCUGUACGUGAAAGAACAAGAUACAGAAACCAGCAGUGUUUUCUAGCGAAGUAGGACAGCAUGUAUUCAAUUACCUAACUGAGUUAAGGAAAAAAAAUACACAGUUUCUUUUAACAUGGUUUUCUUACUAAGCUUUGGACUCUGGCUUAUCUUGUAUUGCCUUGUUGUAGUUCAUUCCACAAGGUCAGUAGAAGAGUGUGUAUGGUAUUGCAAAUAUGAAAACCUACUUCACUAUUUAGUGCCUUAGAAGGAGAAAUAAGAGUUUCCAUUUAGAAAUAAAGCUCCCAUUUACAGCUUAUGAAACAUUUCUGACCACUUCGAUUCACAACAUGAAUAUCUGUAGGACAGCCUGUCUGAGGAACGGCCCAUCUAAAACCUAUGAAAAUGCGACCGCUUUUUAGAGAAAAAUCUCUGUACACAAGUAUAGAUAAAUGAGCAUGACUAGGGAUAAUUUUGCCACAUCUCAGUCUCCGCUUAUGAGAGGUCAUAGAAAGAACUGAUAAAGAAUUUGAUUUUCUUUUUGUGUUUGGUGGGGCUCGUUGCCACAAGGUAAGCGCAAAGUUUCUAUAGGGAAUGUAAGGUUGCAGCUGUGCUUGUCAAUGUGGGCAUAUAUCUUACAGAGCACUAAAAAAACAUUCUUAAGAAAGAAAGAGAAUAAGGAAGAAUCUUCUUCUUUUCUAAAGAAUGGAAGGGUAUUUUGAAAUGAGAUACCUUUCCACUCAAAACGUAAAACCAAAAGCCCUUAGGAAGAAUGUGAUGAACAGUAUUGCCCCAGGGAACACAUUUUAUUUGGAGCUUGCCUGCACCCGUUCUUGACUGAGGGGGAAUCCUUACAGUAAGUACAAUAACAUGAGUUUAACCUUGAAAUAUUCAAAUACACAUUACCUGAAAAUUUACAUUUAUAAC